rnacentral:rRNA from 1 species
UACGAAGGGUGCAAGCGUUACUCGGAAUUACUGGGCGUAAAGCGUGCGUAGGUGGUUCGUUAAGUCUGAUGUGAAAGCCCUGGGCUCAACCUGGGAAUGGCAUUGGAAACUGGCGACCUAGAGUGCGGUAGAGGGUAGUGGAAUUCCCGGUGUAGCAGUGAAAUGCGUAGAGAUCGGGAGGAACAUCCGUGGCGAAGGCGACUAUCUGGACCAGCACUGACACUGAGGCACGAAAGCGUGGGGAGCAAACAGG